rnacentral:misc_RNA from 1 species
UUACUAUACUAUUUUUUUGCCUACCCUCUCUUUUUAAAAAUUGCUUAUGGUCAUCCUAUUAUUUUAGAGUUGACAAGUGUAUAGGAAGGUACCUUUUUCUAUUAUCCGAUAUCAGACACAAGUCUUGUCAUAGAUAUGAUCUACGGAAAAAUAAGUAUCCGAAUACCCAGUUGAAUGAUUUACAAUCCAUAUCAUUACUCAUACUCAUACUAACAAAGUAUUUUUUUUUUAAGAUUUGAAGAUCAAAGAGAUUCCCGCUUCUUUAUAAUACAAUACUUAAUUAAUACUUAAUACUUUAGAAUGCUUAAGACUUUGCCCCUUUCUUUUUUUAAUUGACAUAGACCCAAGCCCUCGCGUAAAAUGAGUAUGAUGCAUUAGAUCAGAUCAGGA